UACGAGAUUUCCCUAUUUUCGUACGAGAGGCAAUACCAUGCAUAGCUUCUAAGCAUUGCAAAAGAAACGAAAGCUGUGUCCGUUGUACUACAUGCGGAAACCAAGUAACUUUUACGAACGUUCAGCACUGAAACCAAACUAUGUCCCUGCAAUGUUCGCAUUAACUAUUUCGCACUAUUUUGUUUUACUAAGUCCAUGUACUACCAACUCAAGUCGAAACAGAUUGAAUGUAAGCUAUGAUACACAUGUGGGUCGAUUUAUAUAUUCAUACGUUUAAGGACUAUUUUAUUGUUAGUUCAGCAUAUGUAUUGUAAUCUAUUGGGAUCUUUCGCCUGAUCUGAAACCUAUUCCUUAAACAAUACACUUCUUUAUGUUACCUCCUGUUCUUUCUAUUCAAUAUAUUACUUUUCCUUUUUUUCCUAUAAAAUCGCAUCUAGCGUUUAGAAAUAUCACUCUGCAAAAGACGACAGUCAAAAAUAGGCUUCCUGCGUUUCUAAGACUAGGAGCUUUCGUACGUUUUUGCUUUCGCAAAGCUGACAAUUAAAGAUUUCGAAAUUAAACAUUUUCAAGUUUUGUCGAAGUGAGCUCUUAAUCUGCAUAAACUGUACCACGGUUCUCACCUUGAAACACGGAAUUCGGGUCUGUUUUUUAAAAUCAUAUUGGUACAAAUCAUUUUGUCUGCAAUGCGAAUUCAGCUUCUUAGAAAAAAAAAAAAACUUAUGAGAGUUAUCGCCUGAUCCUUAUCGUAAUCAUUGAUGUCACGAUAAUUAUUCGUUGAUCAAAAUUGACUUUCCCAAAGACAGAGCCCACACCAUACGUAUCGAGCUGCAGUUGAUAGCACACUGAUCUUAUGACCCCAUCAUACAGCAUAUUAAAGUAACCUCUGUGCCGUAUCCUGUGAAAAGUUAUAUAUGAAAACAUAACAUGAACGGUAACAAUAAGAAUCUAUGCAAAGCAACCCAAGAUCUUUCUCUACAGUUGCCUCAGUAAUUCUCUCGUCUCGGUAAGUCUCAAGCCAAAUCAAUACGAAUUUGAGACUCGGUCUACGCCUGAACAAUGAUAGCUGACGUCUUCAAGGAACGACCUCCGUGCUCUUAGCGAUGCAAUUUUGUUCUCGAGAAAACGGUGCGAAUACUGGGAAGGUUAACCACAGCGAAGUGAUCUCCGAUCUUGUAUAUCUCUAUAAUACUGGUAACGCGCAAAUAGCUCUUUCGCUUGACAGCUUUGCAUAACUAAACAAUAGAUUUCGAAAUACCGCGUUGUUUCAACCGCUUUUAGAACUUCGCUGAAAUUCACCUUUACAUCUCUACUGUAGACAAACUGAACAGUAUUUCCUACCGACUGCAGGUGUAUAGUGUAUAGUGCCAAACUAACGCCAUCCCUUUACCUUAGUGAAAUCAUGCCCGUUUAUGGUCGUUAAGUUUUUCCGGAUUUUUCUCGUUGUAGAAAAAAUCCGGAUCUUUCAAAUAAGCUGAAUAUGAAUUAUAAUGAUUGCGAGGAAUGAAUACAUCUUUUAUCUACUUGUUAGCCAUAACUAUGUUUUUUUUUGCCUAAUUUUAAUUAAUGCAAUAAUGAUAAAUAUAUAGGCGGCUCCUAAUGUAGUUUAUUUAUGCUAACGUUAUUCAAUCAUUGUGAGCAAGUAUUUCUCAUAUGUGUCUCAAAUUAUAAUGACGUCUCAACAUUAUGACAGGCAACUUUGUUGUCUCCAAACUUUCAGUGUUUCCAGGUUUCACAGUGAAUACUCCGAUAGGCUACUGAUUCUGCAGAUAGAAAAAGUUGGUGCUCGAUAGGCUAUCGAAAACAAAACGACA